GCGGGUGUAAUUCAGUUGGUAGAAUGUCUGCUUCCCAUGCAGAAUGUCGUGGGUUCGAGUCCCAUCGCCCGCU
rnacentral:tRNA from 1 species